UAAUCCCCCCAGUGAUGCCGAUGGUC
rnacentral:piRNA from 1 species